UGUUGUACCAGUAUAAAUAAAUAAAGUUUCGAAGGUGCUCUAAAUUUCAAAAAGAUAAAAAAAAACACAAUCAGACAGUCUGACAGACAUGCAGGCUUACCUCUUGGCCAUCUUCGAUCUCAUCCCCCGUGGCCGUGGCCUGCUGGCUCCCUCCGCCUGAGAGAGAGGCUGAGACUAUAAUAAGGUCAGCGGAGCCGAUCGGCAGCCGAACUCGCUGCACAUUCCGCCGGGCGUGUCGGUACUACUAGCUAGCAGGCAGCAAGAUCCGCCAGGCAGCGCAGCAGGCUUGGCAGGCAGGACGCAGGAGCGAGAGAUCUCUCGGUUCCCCUGCCCGCGUGCCAAAAUGCAGCUCUUCCAAGGAGAGAAGCCGGCCCACGAUUUCCUCUCGCUCCACACCGGAGGAGGCCCGUCGUCGCCCGUGCAGCAGCAGCAUCCCGCCCAAGGAUACGAAUCGGGGGCGCACAGUUCGCUGAAGCCCAUGAAACUGGACAGGCGGCGGCGCGGCGGCGGCGGCGGCGGAGCGAUCGACAUGGCACCGUCGUCGGGCUUGGAGUCGGACUCCGAGGAGCACGUCUUGCCGGGCGGCGUCGGGACGUUCAGCAUCAGGCAGGUGGCAUCUGCGACUCGAUCGAGGGGAGAAGCCGCCGGCCAUGGCGUCGUCAGCGGCGCCUUUCCACCUGCCGUUCAUGUGUCCAGAACGGAGGAGGGCCCGCCGCAUGGAGCAGAAUCGGGAGCCAGGGCUCACAGCGGCCCGCUCGCGAUGUGGCAAGAUUCUGGCGUCGACCAAAGAUCCAGAGGCGCGAGAGGAGGGGAGGGGAGAAGCAGCGGCAGCAGCGCCGAUCAGGGGCCCAGCACACCGAGAUCCAAGCAUUCCGCUACCGAGCAGCGGAGACGGACAAAGAUAAACGACAGGUUGGAAAUACUUCGGGAACUCCUGCCGCACGGUGACCAGAAGAGGGACAAGGCAUCUUUCCUUCUUGAGGUUAUUGAAUACAUAAGGUUCUUGCAAGAGAAGGUCCAAAAGUACGAGUCAGCCCAACCAGAAAAGAAUCACGAGGACUCCUCCAUGCCAUGGGCAAAAGUUUACUACAGAUCAUGCUGGAAAAACACAGAGAAUAUCAUCCAAGGAGGAGGAUUAGCACCUUCCACGAAAGAUGAGAACAAAGAACAGUAUGAUUCCAAGCAAACUACGGUGGCAUCGUCUGCUCUCUUUGACACACAAAGUGCUAGAGAAACUAGUGCAAACGAUAUUUCCUCCCAAAAGGCAACAAGCAAAGCAAAAUGCAGGGCAGCUUUAAAAUGCAGACAACAGCGUACCUGGCAAACAGCCACCAUGGUUGAGCAUGUCAACCUCUGAUGCAGACAACAAAACACUGAGCAAGAACGAGAAACAAACUCUCCAAGAGGAUACUCAAAGUCUUUCUGAUGCUUACUCUCAAGGGCUUCUAAAUAGAUUGACACAAGCUCUAAAAAGGUCGGGAGUAGACCCAUCUCAAGCUAGUAUAUCUGUAGAGAUCAGUAUGGACAGAAGAGCAACAGAACCUAAUAAUAUACAUGACAAUUUGAAGGAUCAUGAAUGUGAAGAUAUUAUACAUGUGACCAAGAAGCUUCGGGGCGAGAGAAGCAAGAUCUCCAGCUCAAACUGAAAUUCAAACUGUGGCGACAAGCCGACAACAGACCAGGACUUUGUCGACGAAAUUGACAAUUGAUGGAAUGCUCUUAUUUAUAUUGAAAUCACAAUUACUGACCUAAGCCUCCAUUCAGGUACAAAGGAAGCUGCUCAGGGGAGGGUAGUCAUAAAGCUCCCCAAUUCAGACAUUCCUCCUCAUUUGUAAAUGCAAUUCAGAUUGUAAAACAGUGUACAUGUACUGCUCUCUCAAAAUUUGUCAAUUCAACAAAUAUGGUAGUAUUGCAA